AAGACCCGCAAGGGUAUGCUGAGAGAUGGGCUUGCGGCACAUUAGUUAGUUGGUAAGGUAACGGCUUACCAAGACCAUGAUGUGUAGCUGGACUGAGAGGUUGAACGGCCACAUUGGGACUGAGAUACGGCCCAAACUCCUACGGGAGGCAGCAGUAAGGAAUUUUCGGCAAUGGAGGAAACUCUGACCGAGCAACGCCGCGUGAACGAUGAAGUAUUUAGGUAUGUAAAGUUCUUUUAUUAAAGAAGAAAAAAUGAUGGAAAAAUCAUUCUGACGGUAUUUAAUGAAUAAGCCCCGGCUAACUAUGUGCCAGCAGCUGCGGUAAUACAUGGGGGGCAAGCGUUAUUCCGGAUUUAUUGGGCGUAAAGGGUGCGUAGGGCGGUUUAAUAAGUCUAAUGUAUAAGUUCAACGCUCAACGGUGUGAUGCUAUAGGAACUGUUUGACUAGAGUUGGAUAGAGGCAAGUGGAAUUCCAUGUGUAGCGGUAAAAUGCGUAAAGAUAUGGAGGAACACCCGUAGCGAAGGCGGCUUGCUGGGUUUUAACUGACGCUGAGGCCCGAGAGCGUGGGGAGCAAACAGGAUUAGAUACCCUGGUAGUCCACGCCGUAAACGAUGAGUACUAAGUGUUGGGUUAAACCAGUGCUGAAGUUAACGCAUUAAGUACUCCGCCUGAGUAGUACGUACGCAAGUAUGAAACUUAAAGGAAUUGACGGGACUCCGCACAAGCGGUGGAUCAUGUUGUUUAAUUCGAAGAUACACGAAAAACCUUACCAGGUCUUGACAUACUCUGCAAAGCUAUAGAAAUAUAGUGGAGGUUAUCAGGGAUACAGGUGGUGCAUGGUUGUCGUCAGCUCGUGUCGUGAGAUGUUGGGUUAAGUCCCGCAACGAGCGCAACCCUUAUCGCUAGUUACCAUCAUUUAGUUGGGCACUUUAGUGAGACUGCCAAUGAUAAAUUGGAGGAAGGUGGGGAUUACGUCAAAUCAUCAUGCCCCUUAUGACCUGGGCUACAAACGUGAUACAAUGGCUGUUACAAAGAGUAGCUGAAGCGUGAGUUUUUAGCAAAUCUCAAAAAAACAGUCUCAGUUCGGAUUGAAGUCUGCAACUCGACUUCAUGAAGUCGGAAUCGCUAGUAAUCGCGAAUCAGCAUUCAUACAACCCCAUAAA
rnacentral:rRNA from 1 species